CCCAGCGGUAGUCAGCUGUGCAGGCCAGCCCGUGCCUGAGCGAGUGUUACUCUGCUGGAAGAGGAAGGUGCUGGCGUGUGUGCUCCAGCAGGUUUGGCUGUUUUAGUGAAGCCUGCUGUGCAGCACGGGUCCAGCCGUGUCCUCCGAGAGUGGUCUGAGCUCACACAGCGAGGCAGGCCUAGUCUGGGGGCGAACACU
ensembl:snoRNA SNORA74 Small nucleolar RNA SNORA74